UGUGCAUGAUACUUGCCGAACCAAAAAUCUAGGAGAAGUUAAUUAAGAACCAUCCGAAAGUAGCAAAGUUUCGCAAAAAGCCAUUUCCUCUCUUUUACCAAUUGGAAGCACUAUAUGAAGGAAGUAUUGCCACAGGGAAUCUAAACUUCACUUCAAUUCAGCAAAAGGAUCCUCUUGACGAUGCUCCUAUCGUU